AUCCCUACUUAAAUUUCCAUCAACCUUUCUGUUCCCUCUUCUCAAUCUAGAACCCUGACAUGUAUUUUUAUGGGUUGUUCCUAGAUGUCUUCUUUCCUCUGAUUUGUUUCUUGAUUUGUUGGGCUUAUAAGAUUCUCUUCUUGCCAUUUUGUUUAUGUAAUAGCCAUUCAAUAUUGUUGCUAAUAAUCCAGAAUUAUUGUAUUUUCCAGAACCCGAGAAUUUUUCUUCCUUCUAUCUGAUCAUUGUCAUGUCGAUAAUCACCGGUGGAAAUUGCCAUGUUUUAGCUUCAAACUCCCUCUCCCUCUCCCUCUCCCUCUCCCCUCCUUUUCUACUUGGGUUUCUACGAUCUUAAACUUCAAACAUCAAGCUCCAAGAAUUAUGAAUUCACUGCUUGGUUUAACGUUUCUUAGUUAACAUCCUUAACGUGUUUGGAAAAAUGUCCCAAUGAAACUACUGUUAAUAAAACUUGCUAAGAAUUGAUACUUUUAAGCUUAAACACAAAUGCACUCAAGGGCUUUAAAAAAUCUUGUUAUUUUUAAGCAUUUUUUUUUGUAGUACUUAUCUUUGGAUGUUUUGAGGAGGAGAGGAAUGUCAGUCUUGCAAGGGACUUGCAGUGGAACUGGUCAAGCGUCCCAGUGAAUAUGAUUGUAUUAAGGUUCUUCUGUUACUGAACAGGGCCUUAGCUGCGAGAUCCAAAACACAUCUAACAUGGAGUGCUACUUUUCAUUGACAAAUACUUCAUAGUUUAGAUUGUUUUUACCAUUAUCAACUAAGUGGCUCACAAACAACUAAGUUUGUUAUAUGUUUGGAUCUAGUUAGGGUUCUGGUGUUUCAAGGAUUUAUUGGGUAGGGUUAGGUUUAGCAUUUCUUUGUUACUGAGAAUUUUGUAGAUUAGAUAGAGAUGACUUGUUUUUCUGUUUGGUGUUUUUUUAUAGGGAAUGAGACUUGCAAAAUUAAUUAAAUUAGGCUCGAAAAAGGUGGAGGUGCUGAGAAAUUAGCCACGUAAUGCGUGGCUGCGUUGGAUGGAUAGGUGCUUUUGUGUUUAUGUUGUGAUAACACUGUGGGUUGCGGGAAAAACUGAAAGAAAGAAAGCGAAGUAGGAGAGAUGGUACUUGUGGUUUUUUAUUCUGGGUGAAUUUUUAAAUGCUAACAAAAAAAACUUAACUAAACUUCGUAGACUCACAUGCAUUGUUUUGCCCAGGCCUUUUUUGGAAGGAUUCCUAGAUUCGAUGAUGGCUAUUUGGUUAUUGCUUAUUCUGAAGUUAUUGUUAACUCCAUUGGUUUGUUUUUGCAAUUCAUCUCUUGGUGUUUUGUGUUUUUGCUGGAUUCCCACUAGGAUAACGUGAAUGGGAAAUCAAAACUUAACCGAAUUUAAUCGUUACAAGAUGAACCAUAUUGGAUAUAAUGUGUUUUAAUAUGAUUCGGUUUUGCAGAUAAUUUAUAUUUUGAAAAGUUAAUUGAGCAGCUACAAGAAGCGGCCCUCUGGAAGAAGAAGAGUCAUACAAAGAUGAUCUAGUUGAAUUGUCAGGCGAGGAAGAUGCAGAACUGAAUGCUGAAAUGAACGAUGAAGUGACAAAACCCAAGCAGGAUGAGGAUGUAGGAGUUGAGGAAGAUCAGGAAGAGAAUGUUUCUGAAGACCACCAUGGUCCACUGAAAUCUGGUGAUGGUGAUGAGGACAUAGAUAUAUGGAGUUCAUUUAGAAGUGAAUUUUAGUUAUUAUGCUUAAGGCUCGAUAUGAAGCUUUAAUGAGGCAGGAAGAGCUGCUUGCUUACAUAGAUAGUCAAGAAGAAGCUGAGUUCCACCGGGAAAAGUAGUUGUGCUGGUAAAGCUUUUUUAUGCCAAGGGAGAGAGUAUAUGGCGCUCUUGUUUGUGUGGAACUUUGGAUACACCUUCGAGAUCUCAGGUUAAUCGUGACUGAACAGCACUGUAGGGGAUGGGAACCAUCUCAGAGAAUUAAAUAUCUUAAGUUUUCUCUCGGAUGUCUGCUGACGUGGAGAAUCCUAAAGCUGAAGAAGAACGGAAAGGCACAGGAUACUCCUUUUUAGAGAAUGUGUGUGUACUUUCGCAUAGCUUUAAAAAGAAA